CAAAGAAUAGCUUAAAUUAAAGCAUCCUGCUUACACCAAGAAAAUAUCAGUUAAAAUCUGAUUUCUUUGA
rnacentral:tRNA from 1 species